GCCCCACCAGCUAGCCCCACCUCGGAUAAGCAACAACCGACGUCAAUAACCCUCGACCUACUACCAAACCCCAACCAAAACAUUUUUCCGCCUUAGUAUCGGAGACAGAAAAGGAACAUUGGGCGCUAUAGCAAAAGUACCGCAAGGGAAAGCUGAAAGAGAGUUGAAAGAGCCCAGUAAAGGAUAAGAAAGCAGAGAUUAACCCUCGUACCUUUUGCAUCAUGAAUUAGUUAGUAACCCUCAAGCAAAGCGUUCUUCACGUUUGAGCCCCCGAAACUAGGCGAGCUACCCCAAGACAGCCUAUUAUAGGGCACACCCGUCUCUGUGGCAAAAGAGUGGGAAGAGCUUUGGGUAGGGGUGACAGACCUAUCGAGCCUAGUUAUAGCUGGUUGCCUAAGAAUUGAAUAGGAGUUCACCCUUUUGACUUUUUUACCCCAGCGAGGCCCACCCGCCCUACGACUAAGAGAACACCAAAAGAGUUAUUCGAAGGGGGCACAGCCCCUUCGAACUAAGACACAACUUUAAUGAAGGCUAAAGAUCAAACAACACAAGGUGUCGUACCCAAGUGGGCCUAGAAGCAGCCACCCCUCCAGAAAGCGUUAAAGCUUAAGUACAUAAGACCAAUGAUACCGACAAAACUAUCUCAAGCCCCUUUAUAUAUUAGGCCCUCCCAUGCCCCCAUGGGAGAGAUACUGCUAACAUGAGUAAUAAGAGGGCUUAGCCCCUCUCCUUGCAGAUGUGUAAAUCAGAGCGGACCCCCGCUGAAAAUUAACGCCCCCAUAGCAGAGGGAACUGGGUGAGAAUAGCUGAGCCAAGAAGCCCCCCCAGACACAAGCGUUGACCCCACACAGGACUGCCUCUAGGAAAGACAUAAAGAGAAAGAAGGAACUCGGCAAACACCCUAGCCUCGCCUGUUUACCAAAAACACCGCCUCUUGCAUCGACAGUAUAAGAGGUCCCGCCUGCCCUGUGACAAAAGUUUAACGGCCGCGGUAUUUUGACCGUGCGAAGGUAGCGUAAUCACUUGUCUUUUAAAUGGAGGCCUGUAUGAAUGGCUUAACGAGGGCUAAGCUGUCUCCUUUCUUUAGUCAAUGAAAUUGAUCUGCCCGUGCAGAAGCGGACAUAUUAACAUAAGACGAGAAGACCCUAUGGAGCUUCAGACUCCCGGGCAGGCCGCGUUAAAGACCCCAUUUCAAAGGAUUAAACCAAGCGGCCGCUGCCCCCCGUCUUUGGUUGGGGCGACCACGGGGUAACACCAAACCCCCGCGCGGAACGGAACCCUCCUAAGGCACGGCCCACCGGCCUAACCACCAGAAAAUCUGACCCUAAGACCCGGCUUAACGCCGAUCAACGGACCUAGUUACCCUAGGGAUAACAGCGCAAUCCCCUUUUAGAGCCCACAUCGACAAGGGGGUUUACGACCUCGAUGUUGGAUCAGGACCUCCUAAUGGUGCAGCCGCUAUUAAGGGUUC
rnacentral:rRNA from 1 species